rnacentral:rRNA from 1 species
CUCUGUGACUCCUACGGGAGGCAGCAGUGGGGAAUAUUGCACAAUGGGGGAAACCCUGAUGCAGCCAUGCCGCGUGUGUGAAGAAGGCCUUCGGGUUGUAAAGCACUUUCAGUAGGGAGGAAGGUAGUGUAGUUAACACCUGCAUUAUUUGACGUUACCUACAGAAGAAGCACCGGCUAACUCCGUGCCAGCAGCCGCGGUAAUACGGAGGGUGCGAGCGUUAAUCGGAAUUACUGGGCGUAAAGCGCAUGCAGGCGGCCUGUUAAGUCAGAUGUGAAAGCCCGGGGCUUAACCUCGGAAUUGCAUUUGAAACUGGCAGGCUAGAGUCUUGUAGAGGGGGUAGAAUUUCAGGUGUAGCGGUGAAAUGCGUAGAGAUCUGAAGGAAUACCAGUGGCGAAGGCGGCCCCCUGGACAAAUACUGACGCUGAAGCGCGAAAGCUAGGGGAGCAAACAGGAUUAGAUACCCUGGUAG